CGGGCUGUGGCGCAGCUUGGUUAGCGCACCUGCUUUGGGAGCAGGGGGUCGCCGGUUCGAAUCCGGCCAGCCCGA
rnacentral:tRNA from 1 species